rnacentral:rRNA from 1 species
UACGGAGGGUGCAAGCGUUGUUCGGAAUUACUGGGCGUAAAGGGCGUGUAGGCGGGCCAAGAAGUCGGGUGUGAAAUCCCUGGGCUUAACCCAGGAAGUGCGCUCGAAACCAUUGGUCUUGAGUUUCGGAAGGGAGCGGGGAAUUCCCAGUGUAGAGGUGAAAUUCGUAGAUAUUGGGAGGAACACCGGUGCCGAAGGGGCCGCUCUGGACGAAUACUGACGCUAAGACGCGAAAGCGUGGGUAGCAAAC